UACGAAGGGGGCUAGCGUUGCUCGGAAUGACUGGGCGUAAAGGGCGCGUAGGCGGUUCAUACAGUCAGAUGUGAAAUUCCUGGGCCCAACCUGGGGGCUGCAUUUGAUACGUGUGGACUAGAGUGGGGAAGAGGGUCGUGGAAUUCCCAGUGUAGAGGUGAAAUUCGUAGAUAUCGGGAGGAACACCAGUGGCGAAGGCGGCGACCUGGACGGACACUGACGCUGAGACGCGAAAGCGUGGGGAGCAAACAGG
rnacentral:rRNA from 1 species